rnacentral:misc_RNA from 1 species
AAAGUCGUAACAAGGUUUCCGUAGGUGAACCUGCGGAAGGAUCAUUAUCGAGUUAGGGUCGUUCUGGCCCGAACUUCCAACCCCUUGUUUAUCACACCAUGUUGCUUUGGUGGGCCCGCCCUCCUUGGGGGGCCGCCGGAGGUUAUCUUACCCCUGGUCCGCGUCUGCCAGUAGCCUUAUUAAAUUCUUUUUAACUGUGUCGUCUGAGUGGCUUUAAAUCGUUUUAAAAACUUUCAACAACGGAUCUCUUGGUUCUG